CCAAUUUCAAAAUCGGCAAUUUUGGUGUCCUCCACAAUGCAUGACAGCUAUCUUUCCUGGUUGUUUUACUGCCUGUAACCAUUUUAAAAUUUCUUCAGCAUGUCUUAUCUGUUUUCCCUGAGCGGUCAGCAAUCCACAUUCUUUCCAAAUCGCUCCAUGAGCAUGUACCACGCCGAAUGCAUAUUUCACGCGAAAAUGCGUGAAAAAGCCACCGUUUGGGGAAUUCCAAAAUCCUUUCCAACCUAAAUUACGCACUGAUUCUGCUCACAGAUACUCAGCUCCACUACCGUCACACAGAAACAUAACUACCCACGAGGAAUAUGCAGCAUCUGCUCCAUUUCUCUUCGUUUUCUUCACAUUAACACACCUUUAAUUAGAAUCUUGGUCUUUCCGAGCAUCUUCACGUUUCAUGUGCACAUGCUGACGGGUGGCUUGGUUGGGCUGCCAUUAGGCAGUGACUGGCUGUGUGUUGGCUGCUGGUGGAGUUUAAAGUGGGCAUGCAAUAGUGCUUGAGGCUCUCUGGAGCUGGAAAUAUGUUGAGUUUGGGGAAUCUCUUCUCCUUCCCCAGAGCUUCGGAGGGCAACCACGGCGCCUUCCUGAAACACCCUGUGCAUCUCCAAGCGGAGCUUUCUCUGCAGGACCUUGCUGGGCGCGAACCGGCGCGACCGCAGCACCAAGUGUCAGAGUUGGAGCCCCAGGAGCCUCCUCCGCCUUGAAGCUCCCCUGAGGAACAGACGGAAACGGAGCAAAGUGCACGCAGGAGAAGCCUGGGCUGGUGCCACGUAGUUAAUUCAGUCUUCAGAUGCUCCCUGGGUGAUAGCUGGGGCGCUUUGUCCAUUUGAAAGCAGGCAAAAGAAGAGAUUGGCGUGACCCAGGGCACCACCACUGCCCCCGAUCUCACGGAGACACUUUCACGUUGCCAUAGAGGCCCCGUCCCUAAGGACCGUCCUGGGAAGUGGGCGAGAAAGAAUCCCAGGCCUCGAUGGGAAGCAGGCGUUGCUUCCCAUCCACCUUCCUGGCUGGGCACCCAUGGGUGCAAGGAGCAAACGCUGCCGAGCCCGAGUAGCGGCCACAGCCACAAAGAUACUCUCUCGGGGAAGACGAUGACACGGCCAGAGAAGGUCAGGGAGGCCACGGCUGACACCCGGGACACCACCAUGUCCAUCAGCUGGGGGACCUGCAGGGGAGGAGCAAGGAGAUGGCAAAUGUCCUCUGCCUGGCCUCCACUAGGUCCUGGAGGAGCCCAGGGCAGCGGGAGCCGGCAGGACCGCAGCUCUUGGCCACCCCAAGAGGCUGGCCAGGAGCUCCAACCUAAGAGGUUGAAAUCUGAACCCUCUGACGGCGUUCUUGCAGCUCCGGGCAAUCAAAGCUCAUCUCACCAUGGACGGGGCCACGGCGUCAGGAGCCUGUGUUUGAGCUUUGGCAUUUUGAAAUUGCAAGAGCUCGCCCCCUGGUCUGUCAGGGUCCCAGUAGCAGAGGCGUCGCUGGGCUCCUUUGUUGCCUUCAUUGGCAGUGGCGACCUGGUU